CUAAUGUUCCUCAGAGAGUGACCUGUGGAGCCCUUGCCCACUCGGCAGCCGCCUAAAGGCGGAGUCUGUGCUCACAGAAUGUUUGGGGAACUCUGGAGGCAGAGCCCCCCUUGGAGAAGGGGCACACAGUCACACACGCAGCCUCUGAAAGUCCAGGGGAUGACACCAAUGGCCCAUGCUGGCUGUCCCUGGUCCCUCCCGCUGUCUCUCUCUGUGGACAGAGAUAGUGCGUGUACCCAGCACUCUGGAAAAUGGGAAGCAGGAGAUUCUGAUGCCCCCUCAACUCCUCUGCUCCAAGACUCAGUGACUGUCCUGUCCUGGAGAUAUGCAAGGGGAUGGCUGGCUGACUGCUGGGGACAUGUUCCCCCUGGAGGAUGGAGGUUUGAUAGGUUCACCAGGUGUCAAGUCUGGCUUUUGAUUUUGCAGGUCUAGAAUCUUGAUUUGGUCAAUGCAGCUGUGGUGGUUGAUGAUAUGUGUCAGCUUGGCUGGGCCAUAGCAGCCAGCUAAAUGGUCAGAUAUUUUUCUAAAUAUUUCUGGGAAAGUACUUUAGAUGUGAUUAAAUUUAAAUUGGUGGACUUGGAGGAGAUCGGCCUCCAUGCUGUGAGUGGGGUCUCAUCCAGUCAGUUGAAGGCCUUAUGAAAACAAAGACUCACCUCCCUUGGUAAGGGAAUUUUGUGAGCAGGCAGCCUUUGAACUUGAACUGCAACAUUAGCUCUUCCCUAGGUCUCCAGUCAGCCGACCUACCCUGCAGAUGUUGGGCAUGCCAG
rnacentral:lncRNA from 1 species